UCCCGAAUAUGCAUGAUACAAAUUUACUGAACUGCACUUCAACUUGUUUUUCCGCCGGAAUGAAGUCAUUAACAAAAAGUCAUUAUAUCGGAAUCCUUUUGAUGUGUAUGGCUUUCUUUCAAAUACUCGGGCUCAUUACUGCUAAUGUGUUUUACUGAGCUCCCCUCCCAAUGAGGGCUGCUUAUAAAAACAUCCCGCGUCCCCAAGGAUUCAUGGCCACCAUCAGCCACGGCGAGAAUCUGCUGGCAAACCUGGAUCACGUCUCCCAGGGCAGGGAACUCAAAAUCAGACCAGAAUGUUCUCACCAAUCAAGAACGAAAGUCGGAGAUUCAAAGACGACCAGACACCAUCACAGUUCCGACCAUAAACGAUGCCAACUGGCGAUGCGGCGGCGCCAUUCCCAUGACCCGCCAGGCAGCCUCUGGGAAACCAAAGCCCUUGGGCUCUGGGGGGAGCAUGGCUGCAAAGCCGAAACUCAAAGGAAUCGACAGAAGGGCACCACCAGGUGUGGAGCCCGCGGCUCAAUUUGACUCAACACGGGAAAGCUCACCCGGCCAGGACAUGGACAGGAUUGACAGAUCGAUAAGUGAGGCCUAUUUCAAAUGUUACGUAUUUAUCCCUUGAUUCAGAAUAACUCCUCGUUCUGAGCUCCUGAACCAAUUCCUGCCUUCUUUCUGGGAACAUUGCCAUCAUCACACGUCUGCCUUCUGCCAGGUAUGGUCCAUUCAUUCAGGGUGAGGAACUUGGUUUUUUGUCUUUAGAGCCCCAGUUCCAGACUGAGAGGUGAGAACACGGCGGUUGUGUUUGUUGAUUUGAACUGCGUGUAUGUAAUACUUUCUUCAGAGCCUCCUCCUACCAUGAGAAUAAGUUAAUUUUCCUCUACAGCUACCGUUUAUGCCUCAACAAAACCUGUGUUACAUCUUAUUUUAUUUUAUUUAUUUUCUUGAAAGACAGAUUUACAGAGGCAGAGGCAGAGAGAGAAAAGAGAAUGAGAGGGACAGAUAACUUCCAUCCAGUGGGUCACUCCCCAAAUGGCAGCCGGAGCAAAGCCGAUCCAAAGCUGCGAGCCAGGAGCUUCUUCCGGGUCUCCCACGUGGGUGCAGGGGCCCAAGGACUUGAGCCAUCUUCUACUGCUUUCCCAGGCACAUUAGUAGAGAGCUGGAUGGGAAACGGAGGAGCCAGGACUCGAACCAGAGCACACAUGAGAUGGCAGCACUGCAGGUGGCAGCUUUACCGGCUGUGCCACAGGGCUGGCCGCUGUGUAACUUCUUAGGUUGCAACUGAUAGAGAGUGAGGGAUAGGGCCCACCUAGCUUGAGGUUGAGAAAAUAUGAACACCAUCAUUGCAUUUUUAUCCUGGUGCCAGUUGUCUUCCAUUAGGGAAUAUGUUCAAACAGGGGGCAAAAAGUAGAAGUGCACGGAGGUGGCCACAGCCAAUGUAAGAAAUGCAGUGUGGUGGGGGGACCACAGGGGAGGUCCUCAUCCCAGUCACUCAGUCAGUAGGAAUCUGCUGCAGGCCAGCUGGCAUUUAGAAACCUCCCAGGCAGCAGGAAAACAGUCCAGCAAAAGCAAGUCACUACAGGCAAACAAGGUCAGAUCAGAAGCGAUCUGUUUUUUCUGGCCGGAGCACCUAGGCUCAAUGUUGUGCCUUCGUUCUGGGUUUCAUGAAUUCUGAGUUCCUGUAAAGAAGUGGCUCAUGAGGGAGGAGUCGUUUGGAUAUGGAUUUCUCUGGACCCAGGCCAACCCUAGAUGUUUGGGCCACUUGGGGAAUGAACCAGUGAAUGCGAGCACUGUGCGUGUCUCUAAUUUAAAAAAAAAAAAAAAAACUAAAGACCACAACCACAGAUUCACGUUGAGCUGAGGUUCCCUGUAUUUCUUUGAUGUUCCCACCAACUUAACUGUCAAAUCUUUAUUUAUUUUUUUAUACAACCUUUUAAUUUUUGAUGUACAGAAAACUUUCUGGGAGCAUAGAGCGUUCCAAUAUACCCUCCAAUAAAAUCUCUUACUGCUAACAUCUUUAUUUAUUUUUAACAUUUUUAAAAGAUUUAUUUAUUUUUAUUUGAAAGUCAGAGUUACACACAGAGAGAAGGAGAGGCAGAGAGAGAGAGAGAGGUCUUUCAUCCACUGGUUCACUCCCCAGAUGGCUGCAAUGGCCGGAGCUGAGCCUUUUCGAAGCCAGGAGCCAGGAGCUUCUUCUGGGUCUCCCACACGAGUGCAGGGGCCCAAGGACUUGGGCCAUCUUCUGCUGCUUUCCCAGGCCACAGCAGAGAGCUGGACUGGAAGUAGAGCAGCCAGGUCUCAAGAAUGUGCCUCCUUUUGGAAGCGUCCGCUGUUAUUUUAUGAUUAGCCUGAGAUUAUGGGUGUCAGGGAGAAAGACCAGAGAGGUGAAGUGCUACUCCCAUGACAUCCUAUCAGGGGUAUGUGUUGGUACCACAACUCACUGGUAACAUUAACCUCCAUCACUUGUUUAAUCUGCUGUCUGCCUUAAGAGGAAAGCUCCUGUGGCUUGCUUGUGGUCACCUGCCAUGGCGCGUGAUGCUGACAUCCCAUAAAGUGCUUGUUACUCCACUUCUCAUCCAGCUCCCUGCUAAUGCACCUGGGAAAGCAGUGAAAGAUGGCCCAGGCGCCUGGGUUCCCGUGGGAGAGCCAGAGGGAGUUACUGGCUCCUGGUUUUGGCCAUUUGGUGAGUGAACCAGCAGAUGGAAGAUUCUCUCUCUCUCUGCCUUUAAAAUAAAUACAUCUUAAAAAAAAGUAAAGCUACUAUUUUCCCUUAUGGAAGCAAGUAAUUAUGUCUAGCCAUCCUCAGGUGUGUGUAAGGGAAUUAAACUCCACCUCCUGGAGGGGAGUUAUCUACGUAAUGUAGAAUUUUUUCUGUAAGAAAUCUUUCCUCUUCUGAAAUCCAAAUGGCCAAUAGGCACAUGAAAAAAUGUUCAAGAUCACUAGCAAUCAGGGAAAUGCAAAUCAAAUCCACAAUGAGGUUUCACCUCACCCCAGUUAGAAUGGCUCACAUACAGAAAUCUACCAACAACAGAUGCUGGUGAGGAUGUGGGGAAAAAGGGACACUAACCCACUGUUGGUGGGAAUGCAAACUGGUCAAGCCACUAUGGAAGUCAGUCUGGAGAUUCCUCAGAAACCUGAAGAUAACCCUACCGUUCAACCCAGUCAUCCCACUCCUUGGAAUUUACCCAAAGGAAUUUAAAUUGGCAAACAAAAAAGUGGUCUGCACCCUAAUGUUUAUUGCAGCUCAAUUCACAAUAGCUAAGACUUGGAACCAACCUAAAUGCCCAUCAACGGUAGACUGGAUAAAGAAAUUAUGCGAUAUGUACUCUUUAGAAUACUAUACCUCAGUAAAAAAACAAUGAAAUCCAGUCAUUUGCAACAAAAUGGAGGAAUCUGGAACACAUCAUGCUGAGUGAAAUAAGCCAGUCCCAAAGGGACAAAUAUCAUAUGUUCUCCCUGAUCUGUGACAACUGACUGAACACCAAAAAGGAAACCUGUUGAAGUGAAAUGGACACUAUGAGAAAUGGUGACUUGAUCAGCAUAGCCCUGACUGUUAAUGAACAACUUUAUACGUUAUCCCUCUUAGUAUUUUUUUGGUCUGUUCUACUUAAUACUACUGGUUUAAUUCUGUAAUUAAUACACAGUUAUUCUUAAGUGUUGAAAUUUAACUGAAAUGUGAUCCCUGUUAAACAUAAGAGUGGGAAUAAGAGUGGGAAGAGAUAUACAAUUUGGGACAUGCUCAAGCUGACUUGCCCCAAAUGGUAGAGUUAGAAACAUACCAGGGGAUUCCAAUUCAAUCCCAUCAAGGUGGCAUGCACCAAUGCCAUCUCACUAGUCCAAGUGAUCAAUUUCUGUUCACAAUUGAUCAUAAUGAUAGGACUAAGAGUCAAAGGGAUCACAUAAACAAGUCUAGUGCCUGCUAAUACUAACUGAUAGAAUAUAUAAAGGGGAGAGCAAUCCAACAUGGGAAGCAAGAUACACAGCAGAUUCAUAGAAUGGCAGAUGUCCUAAACAGCACUCUGGCCUCAGAAUCAGUCCUAAAGGCAUUCGGAUCCAGCUGAAAAGCCCAUGAGAGUAUUUGAGGCAUGGAAAUCAAGACACUCUGGCAAAAAAAAACCCAAACCAAACCAAACCAAACCAAAACAAAACAAAAA